rnacentral:misc_RNA from 1 species
GGAAGUAAAAGCGUAACAAGGUUUCCGUAGGUGAACCUGCGGAAGGAUCAUUCAUAAUAAGUGUUUUAUGGCACUUUUUUAAAUCCAUAUCCACCUUGUGUGCAAUGUCAGGGUUGGUCUCUUUUGAUCAGCCCCAAACAUCAACUAUUAUCUCAACUCUUUGUCUGAAAAAUAUUAUGAAUAAAACAAUUCAAAAUACAACUUUCAACAACGGAUCUCUUGGCUCUU